AUCCCGCUAGCUCAGUGGUAGAGCGUGUCACUAGUAUAUAUGCAUCAUGACAAGGUCAGUCGUUCAAGUCGGCUGUGGGGAA